CCUACGGGUGGCAGCAGUGAGGAAUAUUGGUCAAUGGGCGAGAGCCUGGACCAGCCAAGUCGCGUGAGGGAGUACUGCCCUAUGGGUUGUAAACCUCUUUUGUCGGGGAGCAAAGGCCGGACGUGUCCGGCUGUGAGAGUACCCGAAGAAAAAGCAUCGGCUAACUCCGUGCCAGAAGCCGCGGUAAUACGGAGGAGGCGAGGGUUAUCCGGAUUUAUUGGGUUUAAAGGGGGCGCAGGCGGAGUUUUAAGUCGGCGGUAAAAUCGUGGGGCUCAACCCCAGCCUGCCGUGGAAACUGGGGAUCUAGAGUGUGCGGAAGGCAGGCGGAAUGCGUGGUGUAGCGGUGAAAUGCAUAGAUAUCACGCAGAACCCCGAUUGCGAAGGCAGCAUGCUGGUGCACAACUGACGCUCAGGCACGAAAGCGUGGGUAUCGAACAGGAUUAGAUACCCCUGUAGUC
rnacentral:rRNA from 1 species